UGGGGAAUAUUGGACAAUGGGCGCAAGCCUGAUCCAGCCAUGCCGCGUGAGUGACGAAGGUCUUCGGAUUGUAAAGCUCUUUUGGCGGGGACGAUAAUGACGGUACCCGCAGAAUAAGCCCCGGCUAACUUCGUGCCAGCAGCCGCGGUAAUACGAAGGGGGCUAGCGUUGUUCGGAAUUACUGGGCGUAAAGCGCACGUAGGCGGAUUUGCCAGUCAGGGGUGAAAUCCCGGGGCUCAACCUCGGAACUGCCUCUGAUACAGCAAGUCUUGAGUCCGGAAGAGGUGGGUGGAAUUCCUAGUGUAGAGGUGAAAUUCGUAGAUAUUAGGAAGAACACCAGUGGCGAAGGCGGCCCACUGGUCCGGUACUGACGCUGAGGUGCGAAAGCGUGGGGAGCAAACA
rnacentral:rRNA from 1 species